AAGGGAGACCUAAUUCAGGUAUGGGACGAAAAAAAAGUAGUCGCUACCAAGAAUCAAUCCCAAAAGGUCGGAGCGAGGUGUGAGGCUUUCAAACUAGGUUCUGGGUUCAAACAAGACCUGAAUCAGGAACAAGGGCUAUUAGCUCAGGUGGUUAGAGCGCACCCCUGAUAAGGGUGAGGUCCCUGGUUCGAGUCCAGGAUGGCCCACCUGCACAGGUGGCAAAAACAAGAGAAGCUCCGAAUCAGCACCUUAUCUUAUCUAUAUAUAAGAGAGAAUGCUGGCUCUGAGUACAGAGUCCAGAGGAACCUUGAAAACUGCAUAGAGCUAGGUGAAAAAGCCAAAAAAGAAGACCGCAA
rnacentral:tRNA from 1 species